ACUCCUACGGGAGGCAGCAGUGGGGAAUAUUGCACAAUGGGGGAAACCCUGAUGCAGCCAUGCCGCGUGUGUGAAGAAGGCCUUCGGGUUGUAAAGCACUUUCAGUAGGGAGGAAGGUAGUGUAGUUAACACCUGCACUAUUUGACGUUACCUACAGAAGAAGCACCGGCUAACUCCGUGCCAGCAGCCGCGGUAAUACGGAGGGUGCGAGCGUUAAUCGGAAUUACGUGGGCGUAAAGCGCAUGCAGGCGGCCUGUUAAGUCAGAUGUGAAAGCCCGGGGUCUUAACCGUCGGAAUUGCAUUUGAAACUGGCAGGCUAGAGUCUUGUAGAGGGGUUAGAAUUUCAGGUGUAGCGGUGAAAUGCGUAGAGAUCUGAAGGAAUACCGAGUGGCGAAGGCGGCCCCUGGACAAAGACUGACGCUCAGAUGCGAAAGCGUGGGAGCAAACAGGAUUAGAUA
rnacentral:rRNA from 1 species